rnacentral:rRNA from 1 species
GCAAGCGUUAUCCGGAAUCAUUGGGCGUAAAGCGCCUGUAGGUUGUUUAAUAAGUCUGUUGUUAAAGACUAGGGCUUAACCCUAGGAAAGCAAUGGAAACUACUAGACUAGAGUAUGAUAGGGGUAGAGGGAAUUUCUAGUGUAGCGGUGAAAUGCGUAGAUAUUAGGAAGAACACCGGUGGCGAAGGCGCUCUACUGGAUCAUUACUGACGCUCAGAGGCGAAAGCUAGGGUAGCAAAAGGGAUUAGAUACCCCUGUAGUCCUAGCCGUAAACGAUGGAUACUAGAUGUUGCGUUUAUUAUGCAGUAUCGUAGCUAACGCGUUAAGUAUCCCGCCUGGGGAGUACGCUCGCAAGGGUGAAACUCAAAUGAAUUGACGGGGACCCGCACAAGUAGUGGAGCAUGUGGUUUAAUUCGAAGAUACGCGCAGAACCUUACCAACACUUGACAUGUUCGUCGCGACUCUAAGAGAUUAGAGUUUUCGGUUCGGCCGGACGAAACACAGGUGCUGCAUGGCU